UUUUAUUUCACUUUUUUGUUUGUUUUUGUUCAUCAUUUAUUCAUUUCGCAUGGUUACACUGAUGUUUGUGUGAUAUAAUUGAAGACCACUAAGUGCUUUACAGUACAGCUUUGUCAUUCACCCAUUGACACACACAUUUAUCUCGAAAUCAAUCGAAAAUAAAAAUUAACAAACAUUAUUUAUUCAUCUUUUUAAUAAUAUGUAGUUUAAAAAGUGUAUUCAACACUUGAAUGGUUGAAUACACUUUUAUUAAUUAAACUGAAUUUUCAAUUUUGUAUUAUCAUUAUUCUGUAGUACAUAUAUGUCUUUAAAGUGAAAUUCUUUUUUUGUUUUUUCAUAGAACCACAUACAGAGGAGACAUUUCCUCAUACCGAAAGGGAUGAAAUGCUGCCACAACCACCCAAGAGACAAAAUCCACACUCAUCAAGUGAUGAGGUACCUUCAGAAUCCUGCAGAAUGAGGCCUUCCUCAAUAGCACCACCAGCAGAGGAGUCACUUCCUCCCACUGAGAGGAAUGAAAUGCAGCCACAACCACCCAAUAAACCAAAACCAGUCAGUACGAUGAGGCCUUCCUCAAAAGGUACAACUGCCCAAAAGAAGAAAACACCCUGGAAGCAGACAGAGGUGGAGGCAGUGGAAAGCCACAUGAAUCGAUUCAUCACAUCUUGUAUUGUUCCAGCAAAGUUUGACUGUGAGAAGUGUAUAAGAGCUGAACCAGAAGCUCUUAAUGACCGGAGCUGGCAGAAUGUGAAAUUCUACAUAUAUAACCGCAUUACAGCCAACAAGAGGAAAUUUAGUUAAUAAUAGGAAGAUUACCACCUAUCUGGUAUGGCAGAUACUAACUUGGUCUACUGAAAAUGUUUAUUUACUAUGACUAAGGCAUUUAAAAAAAAUGUAUUUUAUUGUUCUGUUCUGAAGUGCCAAUAAUA